rnacentral:rRNA from 1 species
UGAAYUUAAGCAUAUCACUAAGCGGAGGAAAAGAAACUAACCAGGAUUCCCCUAGUAACGGCGAGUGAAGAGGGAACAGCCCAGCACCGAAGCCUGUGGCAGGUUUGCUGCUAGGCAAUGUGGUGUUUAGGUCGGCUCGUGGGAUCGCCACUCCACUCGAAGUCCAGCAUUGAGUAUGGUUCCCAGGAAUUGGCCCAUAGAGGGUGAAAGGCCCGUACGAGUGGAAGUGUCAGAUGUGUGAGGCGAUUCACCAGGCCGGCCUUAGAGUCGGGUUGUUUGCGAAUGCAGCCCAAAGCGGGUGGUAAACUCCAUCCAAGGCUAAAUACAAGCACGAGUCCGAUAGCGAACAAGUACCGUGAGGGAAAGUUGAAAAGUACUUUGAAGAGAGAGUAAACAGUACGUGAAACCGCAUAGAGGUAAACGGGUGGCGUCAAGCUGCAAGCCCGGAGAAUUCAGUCGGUCAGGGUGUUGAAAUGCGCCCAGCGCAGCUAUCAGUCGGUGUCGAGUUUGGCUAGUCCGCCUGUAGAGGGCGGGCCCCGCGGCUGUGCAUAACAGCUGUGUGCGGACUUGCGUACCGAGUGGUUGUCGGUGCAAGCUAGCCGUCUGUUGGACUGCCUGGCCGAUGCACUUUCUCCGCGGUGAACACCACGACCGGUGGAACUGCCAGUCUGCCGUAGCCAGCUCCUCCGCCGAGGUCGGCCUGUAACAGGGUUGGCUUGGGUGUGGGGAUCACAGACAAUUUCAGUGCACGGUGCUUGCGGGUUCUAAUCCGCCCGUAGGCAUGCUAUCGGGAACUGGUUGUAAACGAGUCCGCCCAGACACUGGUCUGUAGUUGCAGUGUAUGUUGCACUGGGUGACUCGGUGGGCUACGGUGGCACAAUAAUCUGUGCAGGGCACCGGAGUUUUCGGUCUGUUUAAUGACGACUCCACACGCACUACAGCAUGGCGUGUGUGUGUGUCACAGCGCACACUGAUAGCGCUGCCAAGGUCUGCCAGAGGCCGGGUCUGAUCAUCGUGUCGCCUGUCAAAAUGACGGGUCCGGUGGUGGCCUGGAGCUGGACGGUGCCUGUGGGCGGCGUGGUCAGCGUGGGGUCGUGGAAAGGGACCUGAUAGUCUGUGGUGUAGUGGUAGACGAGCUACCCGACCCGUCUUGAAACACGGACCAAGGAGUUUAACAUGCGCGCGAGUCAUUGGGUCCUACGAAACCCAGAGGCGCAGUGAAAGUGAAGCCUCGACAUGUUCUCGGGGUGUGGUGAGAUCCCGCUGUUUCUCGCAUGCACUUGACGACCGGCAGUCUGGGCUAGUGUCAACUAGACGAGCAGUGGGCGCAUCACCGGCCCGUCCCAUGAUGUGGUUACUGGUCAGCGGCGGUUGGCGCCUUCGGGUGCGGGUCGCCUGUCUGGCGGGUACGUCAUCGGGGCGGAGCAUGAGCGCGCAUGUUGAGACCCGAAAGAUGGUGAACUAUGCUUGCGUAGGUUGAAGCCAGAGGAAACUCUGGUGGAGGACCGCAGCGAUUCUGACGUGCAAAUCGAUCGUCAAACGUGAGUAUAGGGGCGAAAGACUAAUCGAACCAUCUAGUAGCUGGUUCCCUCCGAAGUUU